GGGAGGUGUGAUCCCGUGCUCCCUGGGAGGUCUGAUCCCGUGCUUUCCUGGGAGGUGUGAUCCCGUGCUCCCU
rfam:Pan troglodytes isolate Yerkes chimp pedigree #C0471 (Clint) chromosome 9, whole genome shotgun sequence.